rnacentral:misc_RNA from 1 species
UCCGCGGUACGACCGCCCGCCGACCUUCUCCACGAAGGCGGCCCUGCACACGAUGCUUCGUGCGCGGCAGCCCCCUGGUGGCUACCUCCCGCAGCCGGGCAUGGCGCCCCCUGCUGGCCACGCGGGCAUGCAGAUGAUGCAGAACCGGCAGAUGAUGGUGGCGCAGCAGCAGCAGAUAGGACAGCAGCAGCAGCAGCAGCAUUACGCGGCGUCGUACCAGGACGCACGCAUGUACGCGCAGCAGCAGCAGCAGCAGCAGGCGACCGCGCAGCAGCCGCUGCACCACAUGCCACCGCAGCAGCAGCAGGGCGGCUACGGCAAUGGAUACGGAAACCCGCACCUGCAGCAGACGAUGGCGCCACCGCAGCAGCAGCAGACGAGUGCUGCCAUGACGAUGAUGCAGCAGCAGCAGCAGCAGCAGCAGCCUGCGGCAGCGUACAGCCAGCCCGCGUACCAGGCAAACCCGAACCUCAUGCACGGCAUGAUGUCCCAGCAGCUGCCUCAGUCCAGCGGAUACGGAAUACCACCCCCGCAGCAGCAGCAGCCGCCGCCGCCGCCGCCGACGCCGCCGCUGCACCAGAUGGCGACGACGUCGCGGCUGAAACAUCCGAACGUGCCGAUGGCGGGCGGGGCAGUGGGCGCCGGCACGGCGAUGCCUUCUCAUGCGAUUGCCGGGGGUCAAGGUCAUGCGAUGAUCCAGCAGCAUCAGUACAUCGCCCAGAUGAGCGCGGCGGGAAGCGGCGGCAGCGCGGGCGCAGGCGUGGGCGCGGGGCCCAACCCGCAGCAGCAGCACGCGCCGCAGCAACGACAGACGGCUCAGCUCAUAGCCAAGCUGAAGGGAGGUCUGCAGAGCAACCACCCACCCCCGAACUACUGAUGACCUCCCUCCCUCCCUCCCUCUCUCCCUCCCUUCUGUCCGUCCUCCCUCCCUCCCUCCCUCUCUCCCUCCCUCACUCCCUCUCUCCCUCUCUCUCCUGUGCUCACCCGCUCUCACAUUACUGAUGCUUGGGCCACCAGCCCCUAACCAACCCGGCACUAUUGAUGAUGUUGUGUGAACCCGCGAUUAUGUGUAAAAUAAAGGUAAAAGGUGCGGCAAUCGUGAGUAAAGUCACGGUAAAAGGUGCGGCGAUCGUGAGUAAAGUCACGGUAAAAUGUGCGGCGAUCGUGAGUAGAGUCACGGUAAAAUGUGCGGCGAUCGUGUGUCACAUUAUCUGAGCUAUAAAUGUGUCGUUGCUGUCAUUAUUAAUGUGCGCUGCGAGUUCGUGACGUGAGCUGGAAUGUGGCAUCACUGUGUGUAAUGAAUGUAAUGCAUGUGUAUAUAUUUUAUCCAUAUCUAUCAGAUAUAUAUAUCAAGUCAAAC